GAGCAGCUCCAACCCGGCACCGGUGACCUAAUGGAGACACGAUUCAAUGCUAACAGUGAUGAACCCCAAAACCCGCGACCUAAUAUCCGUGAAGAAACCCGAAUCAAUUGCAAAAUGACGUAGCAAUAGCCAGUAAAAGCUAUCCGUUUGAUUUUCAAAAUCUUGUACCAAAAUGUCCACAAUGGAAUCCCUCCCAUUGCAUAUUCAAAUAUUCAAUAAGGCCCAUUGCUUCAAAGUUCAAGACAAAAAUCAAUCUCACGGCAUAUUGAUACAAGGAGUCAAAAGAAGAAGAAUGGACUAAAGUCUCGUCUUUGAAGUGGCAAAGAGACUCGAAAGUCUUAUUUUUUAUUUUAUUUGUUUAUUUAUUUAUUGUUGUCUUUUAUUAUUAUUUAUUUAUUUCUUCAUUUCAUUAUUCA